GAGGGCCUGUGCCUGAGAGAUGCAUGUACCCAGGCAGGUGGGCCUCUACACCUAGUGCAGGCCUCAGGCACAUGCCCUGCUCUCUGGGAGCCCUGGGAAACCAAGGGAACCACUGAACUCCACUGUCCUUUCUAGGCAGCCUCCUUGGGGUCCAGGCUCUGCUCUCUGUAUCUGCCCCCAAGGGGACAUCAGGGUAGCCUGGUGGGGAGGAGGA